GAUGAACGCUGGCGGCGUGCAUAACACAUUCAAGUCGAACGGUGACGGAAACUUCGGUUUCCUGAUCAGUGGCGGACGGGUGAGUAACGCGUGAGCAACCUGCCCUAUAUUGCGGGAUAACACCGGAAACAGUUGCUAAUACCGCAUGACGUAUUCGGAUCGCAUGUUCUGAAUACCAAAGAAUUUUGAUAUAGGAUGGGCUCGCGUCCGAUUAGGCAGUUGGUGGGGUAACGGCCCACCAAACCGACGAUCGGUAGCCGGACUGAGAGGUUGGCCGGCCACAUUGGGACUGAGACACGGCCCAGACUCCUACGGGAGGCAGCAGUGGGGAAUAUUGGGCAAUGGGCGCAAGCCUGACCCAGCAACGCCGCGUGAAGGAAGAAGGCUUUCGGGUUGUAAACUUCUUUUACCAGGGACGAAGACGUGACGGUACCUGGAGAAAAAGCCACGGCUAACUACGUG
rnacentral:rRNA from 1 species